AGUGAACGCUGGCGGCAGGCCUAACACAUGCAAGUCGAACGGCAGCACAGAGGAGCUUGCUCCUUGGGUGGCGAGUGGCGGACGGGUGAGGAAUGCAUCGGAAUCUGCCUAUUUGUGGGGGAUAACGUAGGGAAACUUACGCUAAUACCGCAUACGUCCUACGGGAGAAAGUGGGGGACCUUCGGGCCUCACGCAGAUAGAUGAGCCGAUGCCGGAUUAGCUAGUUGGCGGGGUAAAGGCCCACCAAGGCGACGAUCCGUAGCUGGUCUGAGAGGAUGAUCAGCCACACUGGAACUGAGACACGGUCCAGACUCCUACGGGAGGCAGCAGUGGGGAAUAUUGGACAAUGGGCGCAAGCCUGAUCCAGCUAUGCCGCGUGUGUGAAGAAGGCCUUCGGGUUGUAAAGCACUUUUGUCCGGAAAGAAAAGCGCUCGAUUAAUACUCGGGUGUUAUGACGGUACCGGAAGAAUAAGCACCGGCUAACUUCGUGCCAGCAGCCGCCGUAACAC
rnacentral:rRNA from 1 species